rnacentral:rRNA from 1 species
GCGCACCAGGCGCGAAUCUUCCCCAAUGGACGAAAGUCUGAGGGAGCGACGCCGCGUGAAUGAAGAAGCCCUUCGGGGUGUAAAAUUCUUUUCUUUAGGAAAAAUUCGUGAUGGUACUAAAGGAAUAAGGGGCCGCCAAACUCGUGCCAGCAGCGGGCGGUAAUACGAGUGCCCCGAGCGUUAUCCGGAAUUACUGGGCGUAAAGCGGCUAAAAGGCGGUUUGAUAAGUCAGACGUCAAAUCUCCGAGCUCAACUCGGAGCCGGUGUCUGGAAACUGUCUAACUUGAGGACGGAAGAGGCAAGCGGAAUGGCUGGUGUAGCAGUAAAAUGCGUUAAUAGUCAGCUAGAACACCGAAUGGCGAAGGCAGCUUGC